UAAUGUGAAUAAAUUAAUUUGAGAGCCGGAGGCUGUGUGUGAAGAGCGCUGAGUUUGUGGUCUGGAAUGGCUGAGGAGCCAUUGAGCAGUCCAGUGUGGUGCUGCGAGCCGAGGGCUGUGUCGUGAAGAGUUUGGGGAACAGACAGUAUUUAGGGACAGAACUGAGUUUGUGUCUCGUACUUGAAGAGUUAGAGUCUUAGCAACUGUUUUGUCCAAUUUAUCUAUGUGUAGACUACUUGACAUAGAGCCAAAGUAGUAGUCGUCAUCAUCACAAUAUUUUUCUGCUCUGAGAUUCUGAAUAAAUGUCACCUCAUGCAUGUGUGCAGUGCAUAAGAGUAUGUUCCAGGAUCGUUCAUUUCUUGACUGUGAAGACAUAUAGUUGGAACAAAAAUUAUAUUUUGCUAUUUGAUUGCUUUGUUCAGUAACAUAACACUAUAGAUUUUACUUCUUUUUAAAAUUUUGGAAUAUGUAGCCAUUACAGUAUAUAAGUUAUUGUAAAACUGAUGAGAUGGAAUACAGUUCUUUUCCAGAAAAUCUAUUAGAGUUAAACUGGCCUCUAGAAACUUCAACCAAAUAAUUAUCCAACAUAGCCAUCCAAACCUUAAAAGAAACUAUGCAGAUAAACAAUGAGAUUAACACAUUCUUGAAAAGACCUGGGAACAUGUAGGGAUCAAAACAAUGAUCUCACCCUCACAUGUUCAUCAUUUAGCAGUCAAGGUCAGUCUAUGGUUGCUUUUUUAUUUGUGGUGUUAGGGUAUUUGUUUACUUGUCACCUGGAUUAUCAAGUCAGUAAGUACCUCUAAAAUCUCAGUCAGUUUAUCGCAGACUACAAGGUGCUACAUCUCUGAUGACAGUCAAUUUCAUAUUAACUGCUUUGAGAAUGUAAGAUUUCACCAUUUGUUGCCCUGUUCCAAUUUCACUAAUCAAAAAACUCUCUUUUAAGGUCACUUUCUAUUACGUAGUCAUUUGAUUUUUAGGGUUUAUUAAACAACACUCAAUUACUCAGGUUAUAUAGUGUCAAGUGAUAUGAUAAUUAAUAAUAAAUUACAAAGGAAAUGGAACAAAACAGUCAUAGCCUGAUUGAAUGUUCUAUCUUGGAAUUUGUUUCGAUGGAGUAAAAACCUAUUUGCUUAAUAUUGGCAAAAUGAAAGAAAUUUCAGAGGCAUAGAAGAUUGGGAUAAAAAGUGCAUAAAUACAGGUGAUUGUACCUCAUAGAAACAAUGAUAAAACGCAAUGAUCGAAAACUGACCUAAGACAGUCACUACCUGAAUGGCAGUCCGUUGUUUUCACCAUUAAGAUAUGAAUACAACAAUCUUAAAACUUUGCAUUUUGAUUAAAUUAAUUAAUUUCCCUGUUGCCGCUGAUGAUGACCUCUUGAGGUUGAAACGUGUAUAGCACUAGUGUCAUUUUUAUAUUGUUAAUAGUUUGUUUGCUUAUUUUAUAUGAAUACAACAGUAUGGUACAAUGUUUAUAUUCCAUAGAUCCUUCAUAGUACAAGCCAAGGAUGUGGAAAACAUCUUAAUAUUAAUACCAACACUUUGUACAAAUAUGACUGUUUAGUCGUAGCAACUAUUUACUACACACACACACACAUAUAUCAUAAGUUUCAAUUGAAAUAAAUUCUAGUGUGCAAGGAGUGACAAAAAAGAUAAUCUUUCAGUGCUGCCUUAAACACUGAAAUUAAUGUUACAUUAAUUUAACUUUUAAUGCCAAAUGGAAGAGUAAUGGUUACUUAAUCCUAACAAGCACAAUCCUCUUAAAUCCUUGCAGUGUUGAAUAUUUAUCUAAAAUAAAUUGUAUUCAUGAAUUUAUAUAUUUUAGAUAAGCACACUUCUGGUAACAACAGCUUUGCAUUUGGCAUAUAAAAGUCAUCUGUGUGCCUUAUGUUUAUAACUUAUCCAUAUAUUCUCAUCGCCCUGAUGAUGGAGGCAACAGGGACCUCAGAAACGUUGGUAAACUUCUACCAGACAACGCAGCGAUAAAACCUAUAACAAUGCCUUCUUCAUAUGUUCAAAACGUAAGACAGUGAUGCAAGUACAAAUUUACUUCCAAGGAGAAGUUUAUUAAACUUCUUAAAUAGUUAUUAAAAUUCUUUUCUUUUGAAUCUUAAUUUAACCUUGCCACAGAAAAUACUAACACUCUAUGCUGUCUGUUGGAUUUUCCCAAAGGGUGUAUAACUUUCGGUGAGAGCCGGGUCGAAAGACGAAGGUGUAUAAUGUACCCCAACCGCGAAACCUUACGGACAAAAAUUUCCCCAGAGGGUAAUUAUAUAUGACGUGACCGUGACCACAGCAUGGUGCCGGCUCUCGUAGCCACAACCCUUAGUCCAAAUUUUCUUGCCAGUUCUCUGAUGGCCCUUCUCGAUAUUAUUAGUCUUUCUUGUAUUGUGGUAAUAUUGUUUACAAGUGUAAGACUGUAAUCAUGCGAGGAUUGAAGUGGGGUGAAGGAGGAAAGAUAGCGUCAGCCUUUAACGCUUCGGACGUCCUGUAUUCCUUGCAAGUCGAAGAUUACAGUCGCGUACUAUACCCAAGGUUUCCGUUGGUCACAAUCGCUUUCCCGCCAAGCGUAACGCGUUCAGUGUGGCGCUACCAUUAGCGCUGUGUUGGAUUGAAAGUAAUACAAAAAAGUAUUCCUUGCUCAUCUUUCAUCCAGAUCAGCUUGUAUGAAGCAUAUGAAUGCCCAAAUUACUGUAUUUGUUCUCCUGGAUUCCAUUUUUUACGUUUCCUAAGUUUGAUAGGAGACACGCAUCUUUAUGCUAUGCAAUAACAUGGAGAGAUAUUCCAGGUUAACAAGAGUACCAAAAAUUAUACUGCAGAGAGUUGAAAUAUUUCCAUCUCUGAAGGAGACCUUCGUGAGUGUUUAUGUAUGAAAAUUAAUGUGAUCGAUCAAAUUAUUCACUGAACUGUUUUCUGUGUUGUAGCACUGUGUAGUCUGGUAGAAGUGUACUAACAUUUCGUAGGACUUGCUUCACCCAUUAUCAGGGCAAUGGUGAUAUAGGCAGCAAGUAUCUUUGAAACAUUAGUAAACUUCUUUCAGACUGGAUGGCACUACAGCCCAGAAGACAGCCGUGUAAGUACUCGUUGCUGUGAGAACUUCAAAAAAUCUAACUCACUCACUGAAUUUACAUGACGAGAAAGCUAAUUAUUUUGUGAGAAGAAUGUGUUAUUUUUAAUUUCUGUAUCUUUAAGUCUACAGGAAUAUUUGUACAUUAGAAGGGUUUAGUGUAUUCAUAUUGUGAAUUUCAAGUAAUAUAUUUCAGUGAGAUUAAGUAUGCCCUUAUAACUUUCUUCUCAUGCAUGUGUCACUCUGAUGAAGUUCACAUAAUCAUAACUUAAUAAGUUUUUCUAUUACAAUAGGUGAAACUAACUCAUAGGAACAUUAAGAAAUUCCAUAUUGUGAUUAUUAAGUAGAGUUUGUCACAUUUCUCAAUUAUUCAGAACAGGAAUCUCCUCCUAGUUUCUUGGCAUAAAUAAGCAAAGUUUCGGUUAAAUUAGCAUAAUCCUCGAGAUAUAAUGGAACAUAGUACAGCCAAAAUUUCAAUUUUAUUUGAAAGAUUAAUUAGUCUAUUUAUUUAUUUGUACACAUGUUAAUUCUUCUGAAUGUCUUAGUUUCCUAAAUAAUUUAACUGUGUAUCAGUUAUGUAUACCAGUCCAAAACCCCUGUAACUGUUUGAUUUGAAACUUGAACUGGCCAGCCGAUCAUGGGUGAAGAUUCCCACGCUUGCAAUUCAUGUGUGGAGGUUCCCACGCCAGCAAGGGAUCUGGGAAGUCAGGUCAAAACAGAUGGCAGUACUCGAGUGGACACAGUCGACAGCGGGCGUUCAGCCUGUGUACAAAACUUUUGUACCAGUUAUGGAAAAUAGUGUAUAAGAUUAUCCUUAAUUUCAAAAGUAAAAUUAUUCGGUGUUAUUAAAUUUGU